rnacentral:rRNA from 1 species
UAAUUCCAGCUCCAAUAGUGUAUAUUAGAGUUGUUGCAGUUAAAAAGCUCGUAGUUGGAUUUCUGUCGUGGUCAUCCGGUUCCGCCCGUAUGGGUGUGCACCUGGAUUGCCCUCGGCAUUUUUCCGGUUGCAUUCCACGCUUUAUUGCGUGGUUUGUGUUCCGGAACUUUUACUUUGAGAAAAAUAGAGUGUUUCAAGCAGGCUUGUCGCCUUGAAUACUGCAGCAUGGAAUAAUAAGAUAGGACCUUGGUUCUAUUUUGUUGGUUUCUAGGACUAGGGUAAUGAUUAAUAGGGACAGUUGGGGGCAUUCGUAUUUAACUGUCAGAGGUGAAAUUCUUAGAUUUGUUAAAGACGAACUACUGCGAAAGCAUUUGCCAAGGAUGUUUUCAUUAAUCAAGAACGACAGUAGGGGGUUUGAAGACGAUUAGAUACCGUCGUAAUCUCUACCAUAAACUAUGCCGACUAGAGAUAGGGAAAUGCCUACCUUGGCUUCUCCUGA